rnacentral:misc_RNA from 1 species
CCAAACUUGGUCAUUUAGAGGAAGUAAAAGUCGUAACAAGGUUUCCGUAGGUGAACCUGCGGAAGGAUCAUUAUUGAAUACGAAUUGGUACUGAUGCUGGCUCUUCACAGAGCAUGUGCUCGUCCAUUCUAUUUAUCUUCUCUUGUGCACACUUUGUAGUCUUGAAUGAAACCUCUCGCAGUCAAUGCGGUUUGGGAGUCUGGGCGUCAGUCCUGCUUCUGCUUCUUCAAGGCUACGUUUUCAUAUACACUAUAAAAGUUACAGAAUGUCUUUUAAUUGAUUGCGCUUGUCGUAGUCAUUAAACCUAUACAACUUUCAGCAACGGAUCUCUUGGCUCUCCCAUCGAUGAAGAACGCAGC